AAUUAUUGGGCGUAAACAGCUCGUAGGCUGUUUGUCACAUCUGCUGUGAAAACUGGAAGCUCAACCUCCAGCCUGCAGAGGGUACGGGCAGACUAGAGUGCGGAAGGGGAGAUUGGAAUUCCUGGUGUAGCGGUGGAAUGCGCAGAUAUCAGGAGGAACACCGAUGGCGAAGGCUGAUCUCUGGGCCGUAACUGACGCUGAGGAGCGAAUGCAUGGGGAGCGAACAGGAUUAGAUACCCUGGUAGUCCAUGCCGUAAACGUUGGGAACUAGAUGUAGGGACCAUUCCACGGUUUCUGUGUCGCAACUAACGCAUUAAGUUCCCCGCCUGGGGAGUACGGCCGCAAGGCUAAAACUCAAAGGAAUUGACGGGGGCCCGCACAAGCGGCGGAGCAUGCGGAUUAAUUCGAUGCAACGCGAAAGAACCUUACCAAGGCUUGACAUAUACGAGAACGGGCCAGAAAUGGUCAACUCU
rnacentral:rRNA from 1 species